CUCUUUUGCACGGUGUUACCGGGGCAUCAGGCUGUGGAGUAUGCUUUCAUACAGCAUCAAGAUCACCAAUGCUAGGGUAACCAGGUAUUGGCCUUGAGCUCCACAGUCUACGGUAUGUUCCAGGAUACUCUAGGUAACAUUCGUGUGGGGAGUGCAUUUUCUCAUCUUCCGAGCUCGAGUCUCGACCAGUGUGGCGGAGUAUUGAAAGAAUACUCGUCCACCCGGUGACCAUAGAAAGGUAUGCUAACACCAUACCUGAUCUACACUCGGUUAUCAAUGCUACUGUACAUCCUUGCGGUACACAGACUAGCAGUGAGCCGUGUUAGGCAACUAUGGUCACAUACACACUGGACAAGAAUCUCUGCGUAUGCAGGGUCAACACAAUGCCCCGUAAGGUGCUCAAGUGUACCCGAGUAGUGUAUUCGUUAUUGAAUGCUGUUUCUGUACCCAGUGCAGGAACGAUUCAUGGUUACGCUACUCUUUGGUGGUGUGCUAGUACAUCUUGCGAGGUUAAUUGGACUGUUGAUGUGAUUCGGAGGCAAGUAGAUCGGUACUCUAUCCGACCCGUCUUGAAACACGGACCAAGGAGUCUAACAUGUAUGCAAGCCGAACAGUCUUGAAUAGGCUCGGUAGGCGAAUUGAAAGAAAUAUUGGGUAUGAUGCGUUCUCAUAUAUCAAUGCAUUGGGCUCGAAAGUGCUUCCAAUGUUGAUACGCCG
rnacentral:rRNA from 1 species